AUAUUGUAUUUGAUCUGCAUCGAACCCAAGCGUCAAUAACGACCGUAAUUUACAAACAACUCUGUACUUAUAAAACUUUUUUUUGUAACAUACAAUACAUAUUCUCAUGGAUACACUUCAUAACGUGUUCAUGUGAUGAGUAUUCUGAGUUACCUCAAGGUAUUCGUCCAGACCAUACUUGGAUCCUUCCUUUCCAAGACCAGACUGCUUCACUCCCUAUUUAGAAUAUUUUUAGGAAGUUAAAAUAAUUCAAAUAUUUUUAGAAUAUUUUUCUAACUGAAAUUUCCUAAAUUUUCGUAAAAAUCAGAUUUUCUUAUCCAUAGAAGGCACUUUCUACACUGCGUAGAACGAAGAUAAAAACUCCGUAAGCAGAUUCUACCUCAUGUAACCGUCAGAGUAGUGUCUAGAUUUAACAUGCCGGGAGUUGUAGAAUACGUAAUAAAAGUAGAAACUGCAUUUGACAGAAACAGAAAAGUAAUUUUUUUACCAUUAGUAGAAUUCACAUUCUCCCUAUUUAGAAUUUUAAGUAAAAGUAGAUUGUUCGUUCUAAAAAUAGUAGACGAACUUAUUUAGUCUAGAAUUCCCUUUCUACUAACUCAUUUUCAGUAGAAGAUAAAUUCUACCUUUAGUAGAACGUAAUUUUAAUAUUUAAUUUAUCAAGUUUUUCAACCAAAAAUAAUAAUAUGAAUUUGUAUAUAUGGAUGUUUUAUCAAUUGUUUCUAUUCUUUACAAUUUUUUAUUUAUUUAUAAGACUAUUUAUUUCAUUAACUUUUAGAAUUGGAAAAGGCAAAAGAGAAAAAAAAUAGAUAAAAAAGUGUUUAUACUAAAGGUACAACCAUACUGAAUUUUUGUUUCGUUUUGGUAAUUUUGCCAAGUAUUUAUAUAAUAAGAUACUGAUGUAGAAAACAAAAUACAUCGACGCGUAGGAAUUUCUAAUAAUUGUCAGCAAAGAACAAGACUGCUCUCUUUUAGACUUUUAGUAUAUACGAAGCAGCAAAUUUGGUCCGAGUAUUACACAAAAAUUCACUUGAAAACAAAGAUCAAAACCAAAAAAAUUAUUCAAAGAUCAAAACCAAAACAAAGAUCAAAACCAUAUGCUAUUUUAACAUUGGUCGUAGACCAAAUCUUUAUUUUUUAACACGUAACCUCCAAAUCCUUAUUAUACCUCAAUGUAAGAAGAACAAAAAAAAACACAAAAGCUCAGCGUUUAUUGGAAGGAUAUGUAAGUGGAGGAGGAACUUACAGUUUCAAACCAAAUCACUCUGUUCAUAUUGUAUUUGAUCUGCAUCGAACCCAAGCGUCAAUAACGACCGUAAUUUACAAACAACUCUGUACUUAUAAAACUUUUUUUUGUAACAUACAAUACAUAUUCUCAUGGAUACACUUCAUAACGUGUUCAUGUGAUGAGUAUUCUGAGUUACCUCAAGGUAUUCGUCCAGACCAUACUUGGAUCCUUCCUUUCCAAGACCAGACUGCUUCAC
rnacentral:lncRNA from 1 species